rnacentral:lncRNA from 1 species
CCAUAAAUUGCAUUUUUUACUUUUUAUUGGAAUGGCUUCUCAUUUUGUAGAUAAAAAUAUUUUUUAUAUGUUCCUAAAGGUUUUUUUUUUUUUUUUUUUUUUUUUUUAGAAACACAAUGAUUUACAACCUCUAGAAACAAGUUUUCUGAACCUUGUUUCUGAAAACAUUUUGACUUCCCUUAGUUGGCACUGGAGGAAGAUACAAGUAUCUGGGGAAAACAACAAUUCAUGCCAUAUCACUUGCCCUCACAAAUCAUCCCAGAAAUAGGAUCAACUAGUCUUCAGCCAAUGCAUGCUGGAAAUGUGCUACGAAGAUUUUGACAUUUCAUAGAUGCGCAAUUUUAUCAACACCUUAAGUAUCAUAAAAGCAAAAUGCACUAGAUAUCC